AGUGAACGCUGGCGGUAUUCCUAACACAUUCAAUUCUAACUUCAUCACAUUAAUAUCUUUCUCUUACUUUUUUCUAUUUUCUUACUUUUUAUUAAUACAUCUUAAUCUACUUUUUCUUUUUUUAUAACUUAUUGAAACUUACUCUAAUACCGCAUACGACCUACGGGUGAAAGCAGGGGAUCUUCGGACCUUGCGCGAUUGAAUGAGCCGAUGUCGGAUUAGCUAGUUGGCGGGGUAAAGGCCCACCAAGGCGACGAUCCGUAGCUGGUUUGAGAGGAUGAUAAGAAAAAAUGGAAAUGAGAAAAGGUAAAGACUCCUACGGGAGGCAGCAGUGGGGAAUAUUGGACAAUGGGCGCAAGCCUGAUCCAGCCAUACCGCGUGGGUGAAGAAGGCCUUAGGGUUGUAAAGCCAUUUUGUUGGGAAAGAAAAGCAGCAGGUUAAUACCCCGCUGUUCUGACGGUACCCAAAGAAUAAGCACCGGCUAACUUCGUG
rnacentral:rRNA from 1 species